ensembl:lncRNA
AAACCAGACAAGCCAGGCAGAAGUUCACUCAGCAAUGAAGUGCUAUAUUUUUACUGCACCAAAGGCUCAAACAUGCAGUGGGAGGAUAAGGCAGGCAGUGCGGCAGCUGCUGAAAGUGAAGUCUGCUUUCUGUUAUUCUACUCAGAGUUCACGUUCUCAUCCACAAGGAAUCAGACUCCAGGAUCAAACGCUUGUCUAUGGUUGGCAUCACUCCAACAGACGUGCAGGGGAGUUCCACUUGUGCAGAGACAGAUUUGUCCCUGGGUUCCUCCAGAGAGAGUUGCACAACAUGCUCUGGAAACCAUGAGCGAAGAGUAUUCUUGUUGGAGUGAAUUGCAUCUGCUAGAUUUAAUUUAUUAAAAUCAGAAACAUAUUCAACCAUUUCCAACUAUAUGCUGCUUACAAAAUCUCAGUACAGCAUCUCCAGAAAGUCAUGAGCCAACUGCUGUGCAUGACCCGCUUUGGGAUUCAGGCUGCAACAGGAAACUCAGCUUGGAACAAGAAUUCUCUUUUAAAUGAACUUUUGAAACUGGAUCUACAUUGUGAAAUAUUUGGAUAUUGAGCAAUGGAAGAAUUUGGAACAUAAACACAAGCGACUGCUGCUUAUGAGCACAGCAAGCUGCAGCAAGCCGGCUGGGUGCUGCUGUCAGCCAUCCCCAUGGCACAGGGCACAUAGGAGACUGGUGGGAAAGAAAGGCUCAUUGAGAGCACUUCUUAAGCAAGGGUAUUUUUACUCAGAGCAUGAUGAGGCACUGGCACAGGUUGCACAGAGAAGCUGUGGGUGUUCCAUCCCUGGAGACACUCAAGGCCAGGUUGGAUGGGGCCCAUGGGCAGCCUGUUGGGUGGCACUGCCCAUGGCAAGGGGUUGGAACUGGUGGGCUUUAAGAUCCCUUCCAACCUAAUCCAUUCUGUGAUUCUAUGAUUAAAUUUCACCCUCAGCAAGUUUGUGGAUGACACCACGCUGAGUGGUGUGGCCAACACACCUGAGGGAUAGGAUGCCUGUAUGGGAACUGCUGAGUCACAACCUGCACUACUGACUGAGCACCUGGAGAAAAGACCCAGUCAGCCCUGGAAGCACAGGUGAAGGUAAUUCACCUGUGUGACCAAAAAAAGUGGACCCUGGCUUUACCCUUCUUAGACCUCAUUUUAAAGGCUGACUGCCACUGAAGAAGGAUCUCUUGUUGGAGAUCUCUCCUUUGUGGAGUCUUCCUGCAAUCCUUGAUCUUUGGAUACAGGUGUGCCAGAUCUUCCAUGGGUCCCAACAUGCCUCAUGGCCAGAUAAGAGCAGCCUACUUUGUGAGAUAGUGGGUUCAUCUGGCCUAAUACCUGUCCUCCAACAGCUGCUGAUGGAAGAAAUUGAGCAAUGUCCUUCUUCCGGACUGUGGAAGAGAGGCCUUCUUGUCUAAAAGUGGUGAUUUUGCAUGUAGUCACCCCAGUAUGUUCUUCUCCCAUGUAUUCAUCUUUUUUUCCCCCAACAUUUGCAAUCUUUCAGCAACCAUAAGGCUGAACUUUGUGAUCUGCUCUUGUAGGCAAAGAAAUCUCUUCCCCCCCCCCCCCCCCCCCCCCCCAAUUUUAUUGCGUGUUUCCACUUACCCUUAAACAGAAGAAUAGGUUUGCUUUCUGUGGUAAAUAACUAGAUCUACUUACAUGGGCAGCUGUGGGAGGAUUUGUGCCCAUGAGCCCAUGCAUGGAGGCCAUCAGCGUGGGAAAUGAGGAAGUGAAAGUGACCAAACACUGGUUAUGUUGCUGGGCUCCAAGCUGUUGAAAACCUCUGUAUUUUGUCCAUACAUCAAAUAUGUGCACUUUGUUUGUAGACCAGGAACUGAUCCCCUAAAAACAUAGUAAGUCAAAUAUAGUGUCUGUUUUGUUUUCUAUCUUAAAUUAAACCUUUAUUUCCUUGCCAGAG